rnacentral:rRNA from 1 species
CGCAGUCGAACGAUGAAGCAUUCUUCGGAAUGUGGAAGAGUGGCGAACGGGUGAGGAACACGUAAGAAUCUGCCCCUCGGUCGGGGACAACUCUUGGAAACGAGAGCUAAUACCCGAUACGCUGUGGAGUGAAAGAAUUUCGCCGAGGGAUGAUCUUGCGUCUGAUUAGCUAGUUGGUGUGGUAAUGGCACACCAAGGCGACGAUCAGUAGCUGGUCUGAGAGGAUGAACAGCCACAUUGGAACUGAGACACGGUCCAAACUCCUACGGGAGGCAGCAGUGGGGAAUUUUCCGCAAUGGACGAAAGUCUGACGGAGCGACGCUGCGUGAAGGAUGACGGCCUGCGGGUUGUAAACUUCUUUUCUCGAAGAAGAAGCUCUGACGGUAUUCGAGGAAUAAGCAUCGGCUAACUCCGUGCCAGCAGCCGCGGUAAUACGGAGGAUGCAAGUGUUAUUCGGAAUGAUUGGGCGUAAAGCGUCUGUAGGCUGUAUAGAAAGUCUUUUGUUAAAUGCCUCGGCUCAACCGAGAUCCAGCAAAGGAAACUUCUAUACUUGAGGGAAGUAGAGGUACAGGGAAUUCCCGGUGGAGCGGUGAAAUGCGUAGAUAUCGGGAGGAACACCAAUAUGGCGAAGGCACUGUACUGGGCUUUACCUGACGCUCAGAGACGAAAGCUAAAGGAGUGAUUAGGAUUAGAUACCCUAGUAAUUUUAGCCGUAAACGAUGGAAACUCACUGCCGAGCGAAAUACAACGAGCGGUGGUCAAGCUAACGCGUGAAGUUUCUCGCCUGGGGAUUACGCUUGCAAAAGUGAAACUCAAAGGAAUUGACGGGGACUCGCACAAGCGGUGGAGUAUGUGGUUUAAUUCGAUGCAACACGAAGAACCUUACCAGGGUUUGAAAUCAUUUCAAAACUCCUUGAAAGAGGAGCCUCCUUUCGGGAUGAAAUGACAGGUGGUGCAUGGCUGUCGUCAGCUCGUGUUGUGAAAUGUCGAGUUAAGUCUCGUAACGAGCGCACCCAUGUCUCUUGUUGCUCACUGGAGUGCUUAGAAGAGACUGCCGACCACAUCGGAGGAAGGUGUGGAUGAUGUCAAGUCAGCAUGGCCCCUUACAUCCUGGGCUUACCCAACGUACUUACAAAUGGGUGAGGACAAAUGGAGCUGCGAUUCUCUGCGCAAGGGCUAUGCCAAUCUCAAGAAACCAUUUAUCUCUAUUUUGGGAAUUGUGAUUUUCUUGCGACAUCUGAGGAGCAACUGUGAUAG